rnacentral:rRNA from 1 species
CUACGGGUUGCUGCAGUUAGGAAUAAUCUACAAUGCGCGCAAGCGUGAUAGUUUGAGCCAGAGUGCUUCUCAAUGAGAAGCUUUUGUGAAAUGUAAAAAGUUUCACGAAUAAGGACUGGGUAAGACUAGUGCCAGCCGCCGCGGUAAUACUAGCGGUCCAAGUCGCAGCCAUUUUUAUUGGGUCUAAAACAUCCGUAGCUUGCUUAAUAAGUUUCCUGUGAAAUUCUAUGUCUUAAGCAUGGAGCGCGCAAGAAGUACUGUUGAGCUAGAGACUGGAAGACGUAGGAAGUACGUUCAAAGUAGCGGUAAAAUGCUUUAAUCUUGAACGGACUCACAAUAGCGAAGGCAUCCUACGAGGACAGUUCUGACAGUAAGGGAUGAAAGCUAGGGGCGCAAAACGGAUUAGAUACCCUAGUAGUC